rnacentral:rRNA from 1 species
GUCGAGAGGCUUUGGCAAUGGGGGAAACCCUGACCAAGCGACGCCGCGUGGAGGAUGAAGGCCCUUGGGUUGUAAACUCCUUUUGUUGGGGAAGAACUGCGAUCAGGUGAAUAAUCUGGUCGUUUGACGGUACCCGACGAAUAAGCUCCGGCUAACUCCGUGCCAGCAGCCGCGGUAACACGGGGGGAGCAAGCGUUGUUCGGAAUCACUGGGCGUAAAGGGCGUGUAGGCGGUCAAGUAAGUGGGAUGUGAAAUCCCUCGGCUUACCCGAGGACCUGCAUCCCAAACUGCUUGGCUCGAGUAUGGGAGAGGAUGAGGGAAUUCCUGGUGUAGCGGUGAAAUGCGUAGAUAUCAGGAGGAACACCGGUGGCGAAAGCGCUCAUCUGGCCCAAUACUGACGCUGAGGCGCGAAAGCUAGGGGAGCAAACGGGAUUAGAAACCCCGGUAGUCC